rnacentral:lncRNA from 1 species
CAACCUAAAUCAAAAUAGUAAAAGCUAACUUACAUAAAACCUCUCUAUCAAUACCUGUUUUUUCACUUUACCCUCGUGUCAUUUAAAAACUUACACUUUGUCAUCUUAUAAAAUAAAAAAUACUCACAGAGAGUAUACUAUGCCACAAUGAACAAAUUACCCUCGUCUUUUGUGGGGUGGGCGUGGACGGAGAAGUGGACUAGGACGAGGGUGAGGCAGCGGAGGCGGGCGAGGGCAUGUGUGGGCAUGGACUGAGAGGUGGGCGAAGGUGGGGUGGCGGAGGCCAAGGCAGCGUGGCUAAGGUCGGUGAGGAAGUAUGAGGGUUUCAAAAGUGUUUUGGGUAUAAAAAAUAGGAUAUAAACGAAACCUUAAUGAAACACUGACGGCGGAGAUCAAAUUGAAUAUUUUUUAUUUUAUAAGGAGACAAAGUAUAAAUUUUUAAAUAAUAGGCAAAAAAAAUAAAAAAUCGAAUAUUGACGAAAAAUUUUCUGUAAUUUAACCGAUAGUAAAAUGUUGAACGUGUGAACAAGAUAUAAAAAUGAAGUUCAACUGCCUAUUUCAAUAUGACGCCAAUGCAGGGUUGAAAUUUUUUACUGCAGCAUAAAGCUGGAACAAGCUUCAAUGGUGCAAAAAGCAAAAGCUCCUACUAGAAAGGGAGAAAACAAAAUUUGUUAGUAAUUUCGUCGAACUGCUCAUGCAGAGGACCUGUCCAGUGUCCACACACAGGCCAAACAGAUAAAAGCCACAAGAAAAUCAUUUUCCUUUGUAGUUCAUUUUUAACCAUUUAUAAUCAUAUUGUUAGCUUGCUUGUCACCUUUCCAACAGUGAAAAGAAAUAAACACAACAUCUCAUCCAAAAGGGUUGUUUGAUCCUCCCAAAAAUCCUCAACAGCAAAUUUGCAGCAAAAUAAGAACACAAGGGAUACACUACAUAGCUCAUUUUUCUGUCCAGAUUACAAAUUUACAAGAGCAAAAAUAGAGGAACAAAACCCAACAUCCAAAAACAGAAAAAAACUGCAGCAUUUCCACAACCAAGAAGCAUCGGAAACAAAGAGAGACAAAAAGUUCUUAUCCGAUAGCUUAACAGUAAAAAGUAGUCACAACUAUAUAAAGAUAAACACACAAGCAUUAUGCAACUUUUGUAGACAUUUCAAUUUACAGGAAUGUAUGAUGUUUUCUCAUCAGAAGAUGAAAAAGUAAAUUAAAGAAAAAAAGCAACAUACAGAGACUAUCCGUUUGCCCGUAAGAAUUAAACAAAUUUUAGCAGGAUCAUCAUAAAUAAACAAAUCAGACAAAUAUGAUUAAUCAGAAGUUGCAAAUUUUAUUUUCUUUUUCAUNUAUCUGUAUAUAUACAAUAGAAUUCGGCAAAAGAAAAAAAGCAACAUACAGAGACUAUCCGUUUGCCAGUAAGAAUUAAACAAAUUUUAGCAGGAUCAUCAUAAAUAAACAAAUCAGACAAAUAUGAUUAAUCAGAAGUUGCAAAUUUUAUUUUCUUUUGCCGAAUUCUAUUGUAUAUAUACAGAUAGAUAGGCCUCCAGAAAUGUUAAAAAGUGCCACAGAUUAAGGACACCCCAAGAAGAAA